rnacentral:piRNA from 1 species
UGGCUUAGUAAACCAGUGAGGAAUA